AACGAACGCUGGCGGCAGGCUUAACACAUGCAAGUCGAGCGAGACCUUCGGGUCUAGCGGCGGACGGGUGAGUAACGCGUGGGAACGUGCCCUUCUCUACGGAAUAGCCCCGGGAAACUGGGAGUAAUACCGUAUACGCCCUUUGGGGGAAAGAUUUAUCGGAGAAGGAUCGGCCCGCGUUGGAUUAGGUAGUUGGUGGGGUAAUGGCCCACCAAGCCGACGAUCCAUAGCUGGUUUGAGAGGAUGAUCAGCCACACUGGGACUGAGACACGGCCCAGACUCCUACGGGAGGCAGCAGUGGGGAAUCUUAGACAAUGGGGGCAACCCUGAUCUAGCCAUGCCGCGUGAGUGAUGAAGGCCUUAGGGUUGUAAAGCUCUUUCAGCUGGGAAGAUAAUGACGGUACCAGCAGAAGAAGCCACGGCUAACUCCGUG
rnacentral:rRNA from 1 species